ACAAUUUACCCAUUUUAUUUGACCCUUUGUUCCGCUCUUUUUUGGGUGGAAGAUUCCUAAUUUCCUAACUAAUAUGGGCUGGUUAACAGAAAAUAUAUAAGCAAAAGCCUCGAAAUAAAAUUGAAUAGGAUCAAAACAUCAUCCUUAUUGGGCAUAGAUCCAUUCAUGAAUAUAAAAUAAAGAAGAAAAUUGGAUUUUGCGGAGACCAUACUCUAAAUUUCGUAGACACAGACAAAGCAUGAACAGUUAAACACGUUUAUUUUAACUUUUUUUCCAAGUAUAUUCCAGCUUCUUAAAGCUAACUCAAUUCUCUUAUCUCACAGCAAUUUUUUUCCGAUACUAUAAUCAUGUAUUUGAGAGAUGGGUGUUCCUUGUUGUUAAAAGUGCGCAAGCCUUCAAUUCCCUUGGUGCUUAACACGAACCCAAUUUUCAAUCUUGAAAGUAAUUCCCAACCUCAACCCACUAAUGCUCCUUCUGUUGAAGAGUUCCAUGUAUUGAAGAGAUUGAAACAUGAGAGAGAUAUUGGUUUGGCACUUGAAUAUUUCAAGUCUUUGGCCAAUUCUGGAGCUUUCAAGCAUACUCAAUUUACAUAUCAGCUCAUGAUUGAGAAGCUUGGGAGAAACUGUGAAAUGGAUGGUGUUCAGUAUCUAUUGCAGCAGAUGAAGCUUGAAGGUGUGGCUUGCUCUGAAGAUUUGUUCAUAUGUGUGAUGAAUUCAUAUAGGAGAGCAGGGUUGGCUGAUCAAGCUUUAAAGAUGUUUUAUAGGAUAAGGGAAUUUGGGUGCAAGCCCACAGUUAAGAUAUACAAUCACCUUUUAGAUGCAUUGCUUGGUGAAAAUAGGUUUCAGAUGAUUAGUCCUGUGUAUAACAACAUGAAGGGUGAAGGGUUGGAACCAAAUGGGUUCACAUAUAACAUGCUUCUCAAGGCAUUAUGUAAGAAUGGGAAGGUGGAUGGUGCCUGCAAGCUGCUUGAAGAAAUGUCGAAUAAGGGUUGUCCUCCAGAUGCUGUGAGUUACACUACUAUAGUGUCUUCUGUUUGUAAACUUGGUCAAGUAGAGAAGGCAAAGGAGCUAGCCAAGGGGUUUGCUCCUGUAGUACCUGUCUACAAUGCUUUGAUCAAUGGCUUUUGCAAAGAAUACAAAAUAAAGGAGGCAUUUUGUUUGUUGAAUGAGAUGGUGUUUAAGGGCAUUGACCCAAAUGUUAUCAGUUACUCUACUAUUAUCAGUUGUCUUUCUGAUAUGGGAAAUAUUGACUUGUCUCUUGCUGCUUUUGCACAAAUGCUUGAGAGAGGAUGCAGCCCUAAUAUUCAUACUUAUUCUUCGCUCAUAAAAGGCUAUUUAUUGGGAGGGAAACUUGGUGAAGCUCUUGAAUUGUGGAACCUUAUGAUUAUGGAGGGAAUUAAGCCGAAUGUUGUUUCAUACAAUGCCCUCAUACACGGUUUGUGCCGCAUUGGGAAUAUGGCUGAUGCCAUAUCUAUUUGUAAUCAGAUGGAGAAAAGCUCUUGCAGUCCAAAUGUGACCACAUAUAGCACUUUAAUAUCCGGUUUCGCAAAAGCUGGGGACUUGCUAGGUGCCUCUGCAAUAUGGAACAAGAUGAUAAAUUGCGGUUGCCAUCCUAAUGUUGUGGUAUACACCACUAUGGUGGAUGUUCUUUGUCAAAUGUCUAUGUUUAACCAAGUUCAUAGUCUUAUUGAAAAUAUGGUUGCUGAUGGUUGCCCACCAAAUGUUGUCACAUUCAACACAUUGAUCAAGGGCUUGUGUGCUAACGGAAGAGUAGAAGGGGCCAUGAGUGUACUUCAUCAGAUGGAGAAAUAUGAUUGUUUGCCUAAUAUUAGAACAUAUAAUGAGUUGUUGGAUGGUCUUUUUAGGGUGAACAGAUUCAGAGAAGCUUGUGGACUUAUAAAGGAUAUUGAAGACAGGAAUGUGGAACUAAAUACGAUCACUUACAACAUUAUUAUGCAUGGAUUUUCUUCUGUUGGGAUGCAAGAACGGGUUUUCCAAAUUCUGGGGAAAAUGUUGGUGAAUGGAGUAAAUCCCGACGCCAUUACAGUCAAUGUAAUUAUUCAUGCAUAUAGUAAGUUGGGUAAGGUUAGAACUGCCAUGCAAAUUUUGGAUAAAUAUACUGAAGAAAAGGAGUUGUAUCCAGACAUAAUAUCACAUACUUGUAUCUUGUGGGGUAUUUGCAAUUGGUUAGGCACUGAAGAAGCCGUUGUGUAUCUUCAUAAUAAGAUGUUGAGUAAAGGAAUCCUUCCCAAUGUUGCCACUUGGGAUGUGUUAAUUCGAGGUUUCUUUAACAACAUGGGUCAUAUGGGACCAACACGUAUCUUGGAUGAUAUCUUGGGAAAUGGAUGACAAGCAAUUUCAGAUUCUUUAAUGAUUGAAUAAUGAUGGCCUUAAAUUAUGGUAAUUUUGUAGGACUUAAAUUCUCUUAUAUUGUUUAUGAACUUGAGCGAUCAGAUGCCAGUACCAAAGCACCGUCUUGGCCUGUUGGAGUUGAUGGUGUUCACCCGCCUACUAAGAUUCCUAUUCCAGUCCCGCCAUCUCCAUCAGCAAAGGGCAAUGAGCCACAGAGACGACCUCUACAGCUAAGUAAGCAAGGCCAAGUCCUUGAGAUUGCCAUUGAAACCGCUGCAAAUGUUAUUCUAGAUCUUAAGAACAGCCUAAAUGAUUGGGACAGUAAAGUUGGUGAUGGUGACUGUGGAUCAACUAUGUAUAGAGGCGCAAAAGCCAUUCUGGAGGACAU